rnacentral:ncRNA from 1 species
GAUCUGUAUGAUCCAUGUUGUAUCUUAAAUUUUUUGGUUGUUUUACAUGUAAGUAAAUGCUUAAUUAAAGUUAAAAAAAUUUUUUAAGGGAGUCUCAGUAAAUAGUUUUAAGAAUAAAUAUAUAUUUUACUUAGGAAAUCAAAAUAUAAAUGGAAAAUUUCGUGCCAGCAGCCGCGGUUAAACGUAAGUUUUAAGUUUAAGUUUAAUUUAUAAGGUAGUAAUUUAUGUAAAAUGAUAAUAAGUUAAUGAAAUUUAUAAGGUAGAAUUUUAUAUUUUAUUAAUGCAUUAAAAAUUAAUUGCUUAAAGGAUUAUAGGAACCAGGAUUAGAUACCCUGUUACUAAUAAUAAUUAAUAACUCUUAGAAUAAUAAAUUUUUUGAAAUUUAAUGGAUUUGGCGGCUAGACAGCUUAUUAGAGGAACCUGCUCUGUAAAUGAUGAACCACGAGUAUCUUAUUUUUUUUAGUAAAUUUCAGUUUGUAUAUCGCUGUUGUUAGUUGGUUUUUUUAAAAAACUUACUUAAAUGAUAAAAUUCAUUAACUUCAAGCAAUGUGGCAGCUUAUAAAAAAGAAAGAAGUGGGUUACAAUAUAUUGUUAUAAACGGAUAGAAAAUAUGUAAAGUUUCUUGAAGGAGGAUUUAAUUGUAAGUUAUUUAAAAAAUUGAUAUUAGCUCUGUCUUGUGUACAUACCGCCCGUCGCUCUCUUUAUAUUAGGGAUAAGUCGUAACAAGGUAAGUGUAACGGAAGUUGUACUUGUUAAUAU